UUGGUCAGGCUGGUCUCAAACUCCCGACCUCAGGUGAUCCAUCCGCCUUGGCCUCCCGAAACAAUGCAUUUCUUUGUUUUGAACCAUGUACUCCUUUUAAGGCAGCUUUUUCUUCCUGUUGUUCCAGAUUUCUUUUUAUGAAAAUAUGAAGAGUGGAGAAUGUGGCCUUCCACUCCCAAUAGCAGGAAAAUAGAAAUUCUUCUCUAAGAAAUGGCAUUGGUGCAUUGGGAGACUAAAGUUGCAGUGAUCGGAUGCCUAUAUUAAUCCCAAAGAGUCAUCAUUUGAAAAAUUGAAUUUAAGUCUGAAAUAAAACAUCCAUAAAAUUGAACUGUAGUCUCUUUUCUUUACUUUCUCAGGCUAAACCCCUUGUUUUUCCAUUUGUUGGCCAAUGAAGGCUUCUCAUGGAACUCAUUCUGAUCAAAUUUUGUAACUGAAAAUAUUAGGCUUGCUAGUUUUAGAAGGGUUCUUCACAGACAUCUAAAUCGAAGUGUCUUGACUUGAGGUCAGGGAAUGGGAAGCAGCAGAAUUUUAUGUCUACUAUGUUUUUCUGGUAUCCAAAGCUUUCAGCAGAUCAUUAAAGGGGCCUAUGACCCAAAGCUAAUCAUUUUUAUAGACAAAUUAUAAGAAGAGAUAUCACUUUCCAAAACAGCAAAAUGCUAAGCUCUCAUUCCGCCACUGAUGUUCUUCUCUUUGCCUAUUACUUUUUCCUCUUCUUGGAAAGAAUAAUUGAGGAUUUUUAUGGAACAUCCUGAUUUUCGAGUCACUUGGAGGUCCCUUUUCUCAUAUUCGAUGUCACAAACCAUAGGGCUGGCUGCGUUGUCAGUGCAGAGUUACAAGGUGAGUGUGAGACUGCUCCUACCAGCCAUUGCCUCAGAGCUGAGUGUGGCCAGUUAGGUAGGCACAUCAGCAGGCAGCGUCCAGGAGGAACCUGAUUCUUUUUUUUUUUUUUUUUUUUUUGAGACGGAGUCUCGCUCUGUCGCCCAGGCCGGAGUGCAGUGGGGCAAUCUGGGCUCAGUGCAAGCUCCGCCUCCCGGGUUCACGCCAUUCUCCUGCCUCAGCCUCCCAAGUAGCUGGGACUACAGGCGCCCGCCAUCACGCCCAGCUAAUUUUUUUGUAUUUUUAGUAGAGACGGGGUUUCACCAUGUUAGCCAGGAUGGUCUCGAUCUCCUGACCUCGUGAUCCGCCAGCUUCGGCCUCCCAGAGUGCUGGGAUUACAGGCGUGAGCCACCGCGCCCCGCGGCAUCUGUCAGUUUCAUUUGUGUUCUUCCUACUAUGCUAGAGAUGUGGUCCAAAGCUGUUUUUGUAUUUUAUAACCCACAGAUUGCAUCUCUUUUAAAUUGAAAACAACUAAAUGGACUAAAAAAGUAUAACUUUAAUGCACACAGCAAGUGGAAAGAUACGGUACUUACCAAGUUCUUUUUCUGAUAGUUUAUUAUUGUGUUUCUUGGCCUGUAUAACUUUCAUUAUGAUCUCUAUCAGCUCCCUGAGAAAUUAUUCUUCAGAUCAAUAAUUUGUGUGUAUUUGAGUAAAUGAUAACUCAAAGACUUCAAUAAACUUUAAAUUGUCUACUUAAUUUGUUUUUUUAAAAAACUGUAGGCACAAUUAUGAUACUAUGCAUUGUCUUAAGGUAGUUUCUGUUAUUGGGUUAUUAGGUAUGGGAAGUUGAGUCAAGAUUACUCAGAGAGUCGCAGAAUGAGUGGCCGAAAAAUUUGUUACAAAUUAGGGCAAAUAUGGUCUCCUCUGUCUGAGCAGCUGAUCUGCUACUGAACCCCGGUUGUAGCUGCAUCUCUGAGAAUACUGCAGCAACAUGACCACAGACAUCAAUCUGUGUUAUUACUUAGCAUGGGACACAGGGAAACACUUCUGACUGGCAUUUAGUAAACAGAGUAAAACAACUAUCAUUGUAAAAUACAUGUGUUAUGCUUCCCCAUCUCACACCCCCAGGUAUCUAAAUUCAGAUCUAUGGGAUCUUUCCCAGGUUUUUUUUUUUUUUUUUUUGAGACAGGGUCUUGCUUUGUUAAAGCCCAGGCUGGAGUGCAGUGGUGCGAUCUUAGCUAACUGCAGCCUUGAUCCCCCAGGCUCAAGUGACCUUCCCACCUGAGCCUCCUGAGCAGCUGGGACUACAAGCAGGUGCCACCAUGCCUGGCUAGUUUUUGUAUUUUUUGUAGAGACAGGGUUUUUCCAUGUUGCUCAGGCUGGUCUCAAAUUCAUGAGCUCAAGCAAUCUACCUGCCUCGGCCUCCUAAAGUGCUAGGAUUAUAGGUGUGAACCACUGCACCCGGCUCUCCCACAUUCUUUAAAUGAAAGUGUUGACAUUUUAGGUGUUUAACUUUCCUAAUUUAGGGUGUUCAAUUAGGAAAAGAGGAAGUCAAAUUGUCCCUGUUUGCAGAUGACAUGAUUGUAUAUCUAGAAAACCCCUAAUUUAGAAUAAGACUUAGAGUUGAGAGGGAAAGGAUUGCCAAAUAGUUUCAAUUGCUUUAGUUUACUUUCCUUAAUUUCUUCUGUCUUCAAACUCUUCUCCUUUCUUUUUCCUCCUUCUUCCAUUUGUCAAAACUGUAAGUGCUUUGGGUACUGUCCUAAGUGAUGUUCAGAGUCAAUGCAAUGUAUAUCAAAUUUUCCCAUAAUGUGAACUGGAAAAUAAUUGGAAUAUAAGAAAGGAUAGACUGACGUGUGUCCGGAUGCCUUCUCUGUUGUACCUGUUUGCGGCACAUUGCCCGCUUAACCCGCUAGGAGAUGUAGGAAGUCAACCUGUUCAACACAUCUCAAGCAGAUCGAAUGAUGAAAUGUUGAUGAUUUCACCAUACCUUUUCCACUAAGAAAUGGAAUGAUCCUCCUCAUAUUUUUGCAGCGGUUAUCUAUUUCAUCUAUUAACUGAGAAUGCAGAGUGUGCCUGAGCAUUUUUACUCACAGAACUAAUGAAAAAAGUUAAAAAAUUUUUAUGCAAGUGGUUUGCUUGACUUUCUUGCAAAAUGCUCAUAGGAAGUUAAUAGGAAUCAUAUUAUUAUCAGAAGGUUUUAAGACAACACUAGUUCUCCCCCUAGCCCACUACCAAAAUACACUGUGGUAUACUAAUUUACACAAAUUAGGUUACUAUAUACUUGUUACUAUGCUUUCAUCACAAAAGUAUUUAAAACCAACACAUCAUAGAUUGUUUUCUUUCCUAUAUUUUAAAGCCACUCAAAGCUGAGUGGUAUGGGAGAAGUCUGUGGUAUUAUACAAUUUGAGGAAUUCAAAAAGUUCCACAUUACUGCCAGGCCUGCUAAAGUAAUUUGGAGGAAUUUAUUUACUAUCAUGCUUCCUUGCUACCAUUUACAAUCACUGAUUUGUUAAAACUAGAUGUUUUGCAGUGGAAGUGGAGAUUGUAUUUAGCCUCUGAGGUCCAGCCACGGUUCUGCUGGUGCCGGCAAUCCAGGGGUUUUGGCUCCUGGGGUCUCUUGUCAACAUCAUCUCUGGGUAGCCAGUUACCCCCAAUGUCCUUUUUCAGGGCACAGGGUGUCUGGCCAGAAUCCCCACUUAGCCCAGGACCUGGCCCCUUCACCUAUUCCCUCUUAUUCUGCAUCUGGAGACAUUGCCUUCUCACUGGUUUUGUCUCAUCCCAGAAACAGUCUAAAGUCUUUCAAAUUCAGAAUCACCAUCUGCUUAUUGGAUAUUUUCUCCUGAAGAUAUUCUGAGACACUCCCGGAACCAGAUAUUUGUCACUGAAAAUUUUAAUUUAUUCCAUAUUUUCCAAAUGCCAUAAUGGAGUGUGGAGAUACAAAGAUGAAUAGGAUUUACCCCUACCCACCAGAGGUGUGCAAUCUAGUGUGGGACACAGCGCUCUAAGUAUGGAAUAGUGAUAGCAGCUAGCACCUAUUGAGCCCUGACCUUGGUAGGUACGGCAGUAAGCCCUUGACAUAACUUACUCCUUGUAAUCCUAGCCAGUUCUGUAGGUAUCAGUAUCUCCAUUUCCUAAAUGAGGAAAGCAAAGCACAGGAAAGUUAGAUAACUUGCCCACAGUUUUUCUGGUGACAAGUGGCAAAGCAGAGACUUAAAACCAGGCAAUCCAGGGGCUUUAAGUGAUUCUUAAAUAUUAAGUGAUAAAUGCAUUUAAAAUGUGUCCGGAAUGGGCUUUGUGAAUUCCAGAAAGGGAACUAAAUUCUGCUUAAAAAGAGAAGGCUUCUCAAAGGGAGUAAUGUUUGACUUGAGACCCAGAGAAGGAGAAAGGAAGGAAGCUUGCAGAGGAGCCUUGGUGACAAGAGGCAUGCUCUAUUGUGGGGACAGUAGGAAUAGGGGAGAAGCCUUGGCCUUGUCACUUUCUGCUUUUUGGUUUAUGCAGUUGUCUCUGCCUAAGAUUUUUUUCUACCUUUGUUUCUGCCUCCAGUUACUCCCCCUGGAAGUGUCACUCUCUUUUAAAUUCAGAGAGCCUUGUUUAUGGCACUGAUGUGGUGCCCAGUGCAUUCUGCUUUGUACUAAAUAUGCUGUAUCUCACCUUUGUGUCAGCACCAAACUGUGUUCUUUAUAAUUCUGCAGCUUCUAGUACAUUUGUGCAUAGUAGCAACUCAAUGCACAUUUGUUGAAUGUUGAAUGAAUGCUAGUCAAGGCAAGACAAGCAAAAUUCUCAAAUAAGUCAAAAUAAUCCCUAAUUAUUUCCAGAUGGAAUGGUAAUCAAUUUGCUUCAGGAAUAAAUUAGCCAAUGGAUGUUUGAUAACAUAACCGACCCUAAGUAACUCGAUUUAGCUGCUGAAGCCAGCUUUUAAAGAUGCAGUUUAUCCACUGGCCAUGGGAUAUCGGCCAUGAUUACUGGAGCAAGCCCUAGUAAUACAAUCUUUAUAUAAUAAAUAUAAUCUUACUAAAUGUCAGUGAGAAUUAUCUUUAUAUAAUAAAUACAGUCUUUAAAAUUGUAUUUAUAUUUGGCAUUUAUGCCUCUCAGCACUAUGUAAUUUCUUAUUAGAAGUACACUUUAACUUGAGAAUUCCAUUAGAAUCAUUAAAUUUUCUGAAUAGAAAGCUUAACAGUGUUUAAAAAUAAAUUUUUAGUGGCUUCAUGAUGUCAAAACAAUCACUUGAAAGCUGAAAAAUAUGUUAAACCUACUUUUGUAUUUAUGUCCCAGUUUGCUUUUUUCAAUUCACAAAAAAAGAUUUGACUUGAUUACAAAGAAGAAAACACAGAAAGAGCAAAAAAGAAAAGAAAGAUGAAAGGAAGGAAGAAAGGGAGACAAAAAAAGAAACAAAAAGAAAAAAAGAGAAAGACUGAUUAUCUAGUUGUUUUGUGAUUAGGUAGACAUAACUCGAGAAUCUUGGAGCCAUCCUUAUCUCUUCCCUCUCCAUUACCUGCCACAAACAACCCCCCACUAAAUAGUAAAUUCUUACUCCAAAAUGUCUUUGAUAUUCCUUCUUUCUUAUUCAUUUCCAUGUCACUGCCUGACUUCAAGCUUUUAUGAAGCUUGAAGUUAUAUAUCAAAUUGUAACUGAUCUCCUAAUUCUCAUUUUGUGUGUGCAUUCCCCAAAUCAUUCUUGACAUAUCUGUGCAAAUCUCAGCAUGUCACUUUCCCAGUAGUAGGUAUCCAUCAGCUCCCUGUUAAUCUCCAUGACCAGAGAUUCUGUCCACCUCUCCAGCCUCAUCUUGUGAGCUUCUUUCCAAUCACCUCAUCCUUUGCCUCCUUAGCUUUUGCCUCGGCUGGCCUGAUAAACCUCUACCUGCCUGCCAAGUUUCAGUUCAAGCCUUAGCUCUCUGUCAAGCUCCCGCAGUCCCUCACCCGGACUCACAUGCUCCUUGCACCUGCAGUGGGUCAGCUGCUUUACAUAUAUUGUACUCUUUACUUCUCACGUAGCUGUUUAAGGUGGGUGGUCUUUGUCUCCACUUUGCAGGUGAGAAAAGUGAAGCUCAGAGAGCUUAAGUAAUUUGCUGACAGUCACACAGUAAGAAAAUCAGUGGCAAACUGAAAUACAAAGAACCUGAGCUCACUCCUCAACAUGUUGCUCCUUGGCUUUAGCUUUGCCCACACCUGCUUUUAUUUUGUUACGACGUUUGUCACAUUUACUGUGUUUGCAAUUCUCCAUUUCUGCUACACUCGUUGAAAGCAUCAGCCCCACCUUUCAUCUUUAUGUCUCCAAAGACCUGCACAGUGUCUGGCUCAUGAGAGGUAGUUAAGAAAUAUUUAUUAAGGUGAUGAAUGAACCAAGCAAUAUACAAACAAUAUACAUAUUCUUUUCUUUGUGGUGGUGUGGAGAAGAAAGGGAGAAGUAAUAAGUUCCACUUUCUGGAGUGGAAGGGUUCUAGUGGGACAAUAGAAGAUUGUAUGACCUCCAGAACCAUCUUAAGAGUGAUUUUAGGAUUAGCUACUAAGGGCCAGGCACAAUGGCACACACCUAUAGUCCCAGCUAGUUAGAGGCUGAGGCAGGAGCAUUGCUUGAACCCAGAAGUUAAAGGUUGUAGUACACUGUGAUUGCAUCUAUGAAUAGCCACUGCACUCCACCUGGGCAACAUAGCAAGAACCUGUCUCUCAAAAAAAAAAAAAAAAAAAAAAAGAAUCCAGCUAUUAACAGAAGUCAGCAAUGAAUACCAAGGUCCUCAGUAUUACAUAAUAUUUAUUGCUUCCUUGGAUGAACUUAUUAAUUUCUUAUAAAGAAAUGCGCCCGUAUAAGGAAGAAAGGAGCAUAGGAGGAAAGGGAUAGGAUGGAGAAGAGUCUUGUAGUGUGACUUCAUAUAAGUCCCUCAGUUUCUUUACUUGAAAACAUCUUUAUAUUAAUCAUGGGGAUGAGUUUUAUUAAUGUGGGGUAGUGGGCUGAAGAAUGCUCCCCAAAGAUGUCAGGUCCUAAUCCCUGGAACUUGUAAAUGUUACCUUAUUUGGAAAAAAGUGUCUUUGAGGAUGUGAUUAAGUUAAAGAACUUGAGAUUAGGGGAUUAAAUGCAAUCACAUAUAUCUUUAUAAGAGAAAAGCAGAGGGAGGUUACACACACACACGCACACACACACGCACGCACGCAGUGUGAAGACUGAAGCAAUAUGGAGUGAUGCAGCCACAAGCCCAGGAGUCCCAGUAGCUACCAAAGCUGGAAUAGGCAAGGAGUGGAGCCUCUGAAGGGAAUGGCCCUGCCAGAGGGCAGGUGGGCCUGCUAACUCCUUGAUUUCAUCCCAGUGAUACUGACUUAGACUUCUAGCCUCCAGGACUGCAGAGGAAGUUUCUGUUCUUUUUAAGCAAUGAAGUUUAUGGUAAUUUCGUAUAGCAGUGGCAGAAAACUCACCAGGAGGCAACAAUACAGGAACAUGAGAAAUAUGAGGCCUGACAGAGAGCUCCUUUGGAUGGCUGUUCCUCCCCACUUCCCUUGGAAAGCUUGCUCCUUCACUCUCCAGGGGAUCAAAACCUGGGAGACUGUCUGCUGCUGAAACUACACUCCCGGAAUCUGUGAGUUCUCCUGUUGUUCUUUUUCCCUCAGGAUCCUCCAUUUCCAGCAUCUAUCAUAGUCCAAGCAGAGCACAUAAGCACUCUUUUGGAGUACAUAUGGCUUUCAUGGUCUGGUGAUGGAAUCUGGGAACACAGUUAUGUUUGGAUGAGGUCAGUUCUGAGUGGCAAGCUCAUGUUACUUAAUUAGUUUAGCAUAAGUGUAAACCUUUCAAUAGACGCUUAGUUUCCCCUGUUUUUUUUUUUUUUUCAUCUAUCACAAAAAUAGGUUGGGUUAGAUAUAGCUGUGGUUCGUCAGCUCUGAAAUCCUGCAACUCUCUCACUAGUCUGCAUUUGCCUUCACCUGUGAGCCUGUCUCCCGUUUGUCCCAGGGAAACUCUUCUAACAUGAAAUCCAAGUUGAGCUCUCUCAGCUAUGUAGGUUCCUGGAAAAGGAUUGGUUUUCAUUCUGGAUUUUAAGUCAAAACUUAAAAAAAAAAAAACCCUAACUCUUGACUUAGUUGGUGUCCCUAGAUUCAGACCUUGAAAUUUACCCAACUAGGCUUUCUUUUUCCCAGGUACCUAUGUUGUACUCAGAACUGUGAACAAAGCUUGAUCAAGCCAGUCUGAAUUUUUGCAAAUUUUCAUCCCCCUUUUAUUUUCACAUUUAAAAAAAUAUAUAUAUUUCUAUGUAUUAAAUGUUGCUUGCUUUAGACCUUCCAAGCUCAAUCAGAUCAACGUUAGAUUAUUGCCCCUUUCUUUUAUUUGCUGGAUCUUAUUAUUUUUAAGACAGGGUCUCACUCUAUCACCCUGGCUGGAGGGCAGUGGCACAAUCAUGGCCCACUGCAGCCUCAACCUCCUGGGCUCAAGUGAUCUUCGCACCUUGGCCUUCUGAGUAGCUGGGACUACAGGUGCUUGCCACUGUGCCCAGCUUUUUUAUUUUUAUUUUUUGUAUAGACAGGGUCUCACUGCAUUGCCCAGGCUGGUCUCGAACUGCUGGGACUCAAGUGAUUCUCCCACCUCAGCCUCCCAAAGUGCUGGGUGAACCACGAUUCCCAGCCUCGGAUCUUAUUUUUUAUUUCCCUCUGAAAAUCUCUACCUCACAGACAGAAGCUUUGAUUGUAUGACAGCUGUAGUAUGUGACAUUUGCUAAAACUUAAAAAAAAAAUGUCUGCUAUUAAAUGAUGGUCUAAAAAUAAAUUUCAAAUUGAUUUUCCUUUUUUUGAGACAGAUUCUUGCUCUGUUACCCAAGCCGGAGUGCAGUGGUGUGACCACGGCUCAUUGCAGCCUUGAGCUCCCCGGCUUAAGUGAUCCUCCUGUCUCAGCCUCCUGGGUAGCUGGCACUGCAGGUGCAUGCCACCAUGCCCGGCUAAUUUUUAUUUAUUUAUUUAUUUAUUUUUUGAGAUGGAGUCUCUCUGUCUCCCAUGCUGGAGUGCAGUGGCAUGAUCUUGGCUCACUGCAACCGCUGCCUCCCAGAUUCAAGCGAUUCUCCUGCCUCAGCCUCCUAAGUAUCUGGGACUACAGUCAUGCGCCACCAUGCCCGGCUAACUUGUGUAUUUUUAGUAGAGACAGGGUUUUACCAUAUUGGCCAGGCUGGUCUCAAACUCCUGACCUCGUGAUCCACCCGCCUCAGCCUCCCAAAGUGCUGGGAUUACAGGCGUGAGCCACUGCUAGUGGCCAUUUAUUUAUUUUUGUAGAGAUGGAGUCUUACUGUGUUGUCCAGGCUGGUCUUGAACUCCUGGCCUCAAGUGAUCCUCCUACCUUGGCCUCCCAAAGUGCUGCGAUUACAGGUGUGAGCCCCUGAGCCAGGUCAAUUUCAACUCUUAUUUUGGAUUCAAGGGGUAGAUGUGCAGGUUUGUUACAUGGUAUAUUGCAUAAUACUGAGAUUUGGGGUACAAUUGAUCCCAUCACCCAGAGAGUAAGCAUAGUAUCCAAUAGUUUUUUUAACACUUGCCCUCCUCCCUUCCUUCUCCCUCUAGUAGUUUCCAAUGUCUAUUGUUGCCAUCUUUAUGUCCAUGAGUACUCAAUGUUUACUUCCCACUUAUAAGUAAGAAUAUGUGGUAUUUGGUUUUCUGUUCCUGCAUUAAUUCGCUUAGGAUAAUGGCUUCUAGCUGCAAUUAUGUUGCUGCAAAGGACAUAAUUUUGUUACUUUUUAUGGCUGCAUAGUAUUCCAUAGUGUAUAUGUACCACAUUUUAUCCAAUCCACUGUUGAUGGGCACCUAGGUUGAUUCCAUUCUUUUAUUGCCUCUUUCUUGAACCCAUGAUUUCCCAUAUGCAUUCUGAGAUCCCUCACAGCUCUCAUCUUCCUCUUCCAACUUCCAGUAAAGGUUCGGUAUGUUCCUGCUUCACACAAUGUCAGGGAGGUCAGUUGGUUCUCAGACCCCCAUCAUUGUGAACCAGCAUUGGCAUUCACCAGAAUACUUGGAACACAACUUUCUUAUGAAACAUUCUUUGAGUAGCUGCUAUAAACCAGGCAUUUCUAUAGCGAGUGUUGAAACUUAUGUUAGACUGUAUAAGAUUCAAUUCUUGUUUUAAAAUGUCAUUGUAAUAGAGAAAGUAAGAUAACCACACAAAUAAUAAUAAGAUGAAGUGGGUGCUGCUGUAAUAUUGAUGGAAAUAGCCGCAGAUACAAAAGUUGAUAAAACUACAUUUCAUUUCCUAACAAGGCAUUUGCCAUGGAUGUGAACUUAUGAACAUCAGUUUUCUUACAUGCCCAGGGGUCUAUGGAGGCCUUAUUUGUGUAUGAAGAUGUGGUGUGGAGUAAAUGAUAUAAAUGCAUGUGAAAGUGCCCAGCACUAUCCCUGAUUCAUAGUAGGGGAUUGGUCAGAGAUUCUUAAAUACCAGAGAAGGGGUUUAAAAGGAAGAAGAGAUCACAGGUGGUUUGGCAGAUCCAAAAGGGCUUUGCGGAAAAUGUAGCAAUUAAGAUAGGUCAGACUGGUGGCUCCUCAGGGCAGGGACCUUCUGAAUUACUUUUCCUGUCCUUAGUAUUUUAUAAAUAGACUGUAGUGGAUAUAUGUUGAGUGAAUGGACCUUAAAGGAUGGACAGGAUUCUGAAAGGUUGAACUGGACUUUGAGAAAGGGCACUGCAGCAGGGGCAUAGCAGGGAUGGUAAGGUGUAGGUCAUGCUGUCAGAAUGGCAGUCUACUUUGGUGGGAGUGUAGGGAAGUAGUAGAAGUAAGAGUGAAAUGUAAGUUGGGAAUAUUCUGUGAGUAUUGAAAGUGCUUUCAUUGUUAGACUGAGAGCUUGCACUUUAUCUAAUUACUCUUUAAUUUUUGUGUCUCUAGUCAAAUUUAGGAGGAGGAGAUUUUUGUUAUGCUUUCUGCAUUAUUGAGAGUUUACCAUUAUAAUUGCCAUCUGUCGUGUUUCUCUUUUUUGUCAGAAGGGUUGUAGGCAAUCUUUGGCUGGGAUAAACAGAUAGUUUUUCUACUCACUAAAGAAAAUAGAUGCAGAGAGACUGGCACUAACAAGGAAUAGAGAAGGAGAUAGUUUUUUCUUUGCUUAUGCCUAAAUCUUGUCUUUGUUAAAUAUUAUGUUAUACAUUAUUCAUAACUUUUAAGCUUUUAAAAAAUCAAAAUUUAAGUCAAAUAAGUCAAAUAUACAAAAGAAAAGAAUAUGUGAGCCUAUGACUUUCCAUGUGUUCUAGACCAGGAGUUCCCAACCGCCAGGCCAUGGACCAGUACCGUCUGUGGCCAGUUAGGAACCAGGCCUCAUAGCAGGAGGUGAGCAGCAGAUGAGCAAGCGAAGCUUCAUCUGUAUUUACAGCCGCUCCCCAUUACUUGCAUUACCACCUGAGCUCCACCUCCUGUCAGGUCAGCGGCAGCAUUAGAUUCUUAUAGGAGCACGAACUCUACUGUGAACUGUGCAUGCAGGGGAUCUAAGUUCAUGAUCCUUAUGAGAAUCUAACUAAUGUCUGACAAUCUAUCAUUGUCUCCCAUCACCCCCAGAUGGGACCGUCUAGUUGCAGGAAAACAAGCUCAGGGCUUCCACUAAUUGUACAUUAUGGUGAGUUGCAAAAUUACUUCAUUAUAUAUUACAAUGUAAUAAUAAUAGAAAUAAAGUACACAAUAAGUGUAAUACACUUGAAUCAUCCCAAAACCAUCUGCCACCCCAACCCUGGUCCAUGGAAAAAUUGUCUUCUAUGAAACUUGUUCCUGGUGCCAAGAGGUUGGGGACCACUAUUCUAGAUCAUCUCAAGGAACAUUUUUACAGCUUGAACCAGCCUUGUACAUAACUCGUUUUAUAAUUAGAUGCUAUGUUUCAAAUAUUAGUAGCCCUGGGAGGGGUAACACUAAUAUUCAGAAAUAGCUGGGCAGUAUAUGAGAUAUCUGGAGGAAGGGAGAACAUGGAGAGGGUGCUAAAGACAAACUUGACUAUAGUAUUUGAUGUGAACAUGACCUCAGUUGAAAGUACACCACUAUUUUAUGUACCUUUAAGAAAAAAGUGCUGUCAAUGAUGUUUAAUGAUUGUGCUGCGCUACACAUGAGUUGGUCAUACUGGCUUCUUAUUGCUUUGACAUUUCCUGCCUUUCUUCUGGGAUAUUUGGCACUUUUGCCUGCCUUCUUGUAUGGCUUGGCAUAAGAUAGACAAUUCUUUGCACAUGUCUGUGUAGCAAAAUGCAACUCAACUUCAUUUACCUUUUGUUAUAGAUCCUGUAAGACAACUGAUUGCUGUUUGCAAUAAAAUACAGAAUUGUGGUCAUUCUUCCAAAGAAAAAUAUGUAUUCCACUAAUAUCAAAUUUAUCCUCCAACUUCAUUUCUAUGCUUUUCUACUUAUACAAUAACUUUUUGUUUCAAUGUUGAGUUACAUGUAAAGACAUAUAAAAUGGAAAUGAAAUUUAACACUAUAAGUAAAUCUUAGCUAAAGCGACAAUAAUAUUAAUGUGUAUGACCAAGAUUGUACACGUGCAACUACAUCAUGAUAGCAACUAGUGGAAGCCAGUUAUAAGACUGCAUUGAUUAAAGACAUACUCACAAUAUAGAGAGGUUAAAAUGAGGGCUGGGUGCGGUGGCUCACGCCUGUAAUCCCAGCACUUUGGGAGGCCGAGGUGGGUGGAUCACCUGAGGUCAGGAGUUCGAGACCAGCCUGGCCAACAUGGUGAAACCCCGUCUCUACUAAAAAUAUAAAAACUAGCCGGGUAGGGUAGUGGGUGCCAGUAAUCCCAGCUACUUGAGAGGCUGAGGCAGGAGAAUUGCUUGAACCCAGAAGAUGGAGGUUGCAGUGAGCCGACACAGUGCCACUGCACUCCAGCCUGGGUGACAGAGUGAGACUCAGUCUCAAAAAAAAAAAAAAAAAAAAGAAGAAGAAAAAGUGCACUUAGAAACAAUGAAACACGCUCUUUUUAAAAUGUGCCUGCAGACUCAUCUACCUCAUGCUGAAGUAUUUUAUCUAGCACUUAAGACUAAUUGGUUGAACCACAUCCCUUUAUGGCUCUGGUUUUAUGAUGUACACUAAUGUGUCAUAAAACCAUAAUGUACAUUUGGUGACCACAAUCAUCUUAUCAAAGGGCUCUGCUGGAAGUGAGGCUGAUGCAUGAGCAUCCAUACCUUAAGCUCUGUUUUCCAAGUUGGUGGUUGUAUGAUUAUAUAUAGAAGCGUCAUGGUCAUAUUUGCCCUUGCUCCCUUCUACCCACUACGUGUACCAGUUAGGAGUUUAUUUAAUGGGUGUCGUAUGAUUUUCUUGUCUGGUUUACCUCUUGAUGGUCCACAUUUCAUAAAUCAUAUCUCCUCAUAUAUACAGGAAAGCAUAUGUUGAAAUCACUGAAAUUACAUAACUUGCUCCCCUUUGAAUCAGUUUCCUUCUUAUCACUUUGAACAUGCUCAUUUCAGGCAUCUCUACGCUACGGAGUGUGCCCUACAAAUAGAAAUGUGGGAAACCUGCCAGGAGAAAUUAAACUGUCAGUCUCCUCCUCUUCCAGAUGAGGGUUGAUAGAUACAUCUCUCUAUGUUGUGGCAGCCUUCAAUCUGAAUUGAGCAGAUUUCAAACAUUUCUCUCAGCUGUGUACCUAGAGUUUAAUCUCUGAAGACUUAUUUCAUUGCCGAUCAUUUGCAAAAUGGAUAGAUUUGAGUCGUACCCUAUCCAUUUUUCUCCUGUCACUUACUGGUAAAAUAAACACUGAGUAGGAAGUUGUGAAAGAGGAUAAAGGAAAGCUCGGCAAACUGGAUGGUCCUGAAAAGUCUGUAAGAGACACAUGGAAGGUAAACAAGCUGGUUGCUUUUGUUCUGCCAGCUGAGGUCAUUGGAGCAUGAACAGGGAAACUUCAACUUGGAGCUGAUGUCCUGAUCCUUUGGAAGCUCUUUUGGGAUGGAAGGGUUCUCGAUUCCUGUUUUUGGUCUUACUCUUGUUACUGUCUAAGAGGGCUGUCUCUGUUCUAAUCUGCUAGUUGCAGGCUUACAGUUGGUUAGAUGAUGAAAUGUGAUGUUUACAGCAUCAAGCACAAUGUUCAGUAGAAGUUUUGACAAAUCCUCCUGCUAGAACUUCAUGAUAAUUUGAUCUAUCAGAUACAUUUUAACAACCCUUUUGACCACACGUUAGUGGAGCUGAUGCAAUUAGCUAGUUCUUGUUUUAUUGUUACAUUAAGAAAAAAACCAAAAUUUAAAUUUAAAUAUACAACUCAUGUGGUGGAGGAAAAAAGACAUACUUUCAGAGGGAAAAUCUUACAAGUGAGUUUUAUGCUUAAAAACUGAAUGCCUUAAAAUUUAUAUAUCUUCUUUUUUGGAGGUGAAAAAAAUCUUCUAGGAAGUUGCUAUUUAUAAAAAAAAAGUGGCAUAGACCUUCCUUUCAAACUUUAGAAAAAACUAGACUUAUUAAAUCUCACAUGGUCAAAGGACAACACCAUUUAGAAGCAUUUAAAACAUUAUGAUUUUGGGGUACUUGAACAUUUGAAUAGGAAUAAAAGCAAUUUUUUUAGAUGGCCUGAAUUGUUUUUUUAAGAUUGGGUUUUUGGUGUGAUAAAAAUAUUUUAUUUCAUGAUUGUGUGGUAGUUGUACAAUUAUAAAUACGUGUCAAACUCAUUGAAUUUUACUCUUAAACUUGGUGAAAUUUUUGUCUGUAAAUUAUACUUUAAUAACACUGACAAGAAAAAUAAAGUAUUUUGGGAUUUAGAAAAGGACUGGCUGGGAUUUCAAGGAAGGGAGUUUCUGUGGACACGCAAUAUGACACUAAAAUCAUGGAUAGGAACAGAAAUUAUUUUAAUCAAAAGCCAAAUGUAAUGAAACUAUUAAGAAAAAUGAUUUAGUGACUGUAUUUUACAUGUUUAUUAUACUUCUCAUUACAUUGGGGUUAUUUCCCCACUUACAUUCAUUUGUAUGUGUGCAGGUAGAGUAGGGUGGGGACAAGGGGAUGGGAGAGUGGGUGUGCAUCACGUGAAAAUGAAGAGGACUUGGGGCAGAGCAAGAUGGCCUAAUAGAAGCCUCCAGCGAUUUUCCUCCCUGCAGGAACACCAAAUUGUACAACUAUUCACACAGAAAAUCACCUUUAUAAGAACCAAAAAUCAGGUGAUCACAGUACCUAGUUUUAACUUCCUAUCACUGAAAGAGGCACCAAAGAGGGUGGGAGAGGCAGUCUUGAAUUGCCUAUACCACCCAGUCUUCCAUUCCCUGGCAGUGGUCGCAUGGCACAGAGACAGAAUCUGUAUGCUUGGGGGAGGGAGAGCACAGGAACUUUGCACUGGAACUCAGUGCUGCCCUGUCACAGUGGAAAGCAAUGCCAGGAAGAACUCAGCUGGCACCCAUGGAGGGAGUAUUUAAACAAGCCCUAGCCAGAGGGGAAUCACGCAUCCCAGUGGUCAGAACCUGAGUGCUGGCAAGCUAAAGUACUUUGGGGUCCUAAAUACACUUGAAAGGCAGUCUAGACCACAAAGACUGUAAUUCCUAGGCAAGUCCUGGUGCUGUGCUGGCCUUGGAGCCAGUGGAGUUGGGGGACAUGUGACCCAGUAACACACCAGCUGGGGUGGCCAAGGGAGUGCUUGCAUCACCAUUCCCCUAACCCCAGGCUGCACAGCUUGCAUCUCCUGGAAAGACUCCUUCCUUCUGCUUCAGGAGAGGGAAGAGUAAAGAGGACUUUGUCUCACACCUUGGAUACCAGCUCAGCCACAGUAGAAUAGGGGACCAGGCAAAGUCCUGAGGCCCCCAUUCCAGCCCCUAGUUCCCAAAGGACAUUUCUAAACACACCCUGUGCCAGAAGGGAACUUGCUACCUUGAAGGGAAGGCCCCAGUUCUGGCUGGAUUCAUCACCUGCUGGCUAAAGAGCCCUUGGGUCUCGAAUAAACAUCAGCAGUACCCAGGCAGUACUUGCCAUGGGCAUUGAGUGAGACUCAGAGCUGUGCUGGAUUCAGGUGAGACCCAGUACAUUCCCAGCUGUGGGGGCCACAGAGAGAGACUCUUCUGCUUGUGGAAAGGAGAGGGAAGAGUGUAAAAGAUUUGGUCUUGUGGCUUGGGUGCCAGCUCAGCUGCAGUAGAAUAGAGCACCAGGUAGAUUCCUAAGGUUUCUGACUCUAGGUCCUGGCUCCAGGAUGGCAUCUCUAGACCUGCUCAGGGCCUGGGGGGAACUCACCAUUCUGAAAAUAAGGACACAAGCCAAGCUCAUCUUGCUAUCUGCUAAUUGUAGGGCCCUAAGGCCUUGAGCAAACAUAGGUCGUAGGCAGGCAGUGGUUAUCACAGGCCUUGGGUGAGUCCUAGUGCUGUGCCUGGCUUCCGGUCUGACCAAGUAUAGUCCCAGUGGUGGUGGUCACUGGGUGCUUGUGUCACCCCUUCCCCAGCUCCAGGCAGCUCAACACAGAGAAAGAGACUCCAUUUGUUUUGGAGAAAGCAGGGGACGAGAACAAGACUCUGCCUGGUAAUCCAGGAAAUUUUUCUGGAUCUUAUCCAAGACCACCAAGGUGGUAUCUCUAUGAAUCUACAAGAGCCACAGCAUUACCUAAUGCAGAUAUGGCAGAAGUGACCAAAAACUUAGACUACAACACUUAAGUCCCUUUGAAUACCUGGAAAGCCUUCCUAAGAAAGAAGGGUACAAACAAGCCCAGACUGAGAACAUGACAAUAAAUACCUAACUCUUCAAUGCCCAGACACUGAUGAACAUCCACAAGCAUCAAGACCAUCCAGGAAAACUUGACCUCACCAAAGCUAAGUAAGACACCAGGGACCAAUCUUGGAGAGACAGAGAUAUUUGACCUUUCAGACAGAGAAUUAAAAAUAGCUGUUUUGAGGAAAUUCAACAAAAUUCAAGAUAACACAGAGGAGGAAUUCAGAAUCCUAUCAGAUAAAUUUAACAAAGAUAUUUAAAUAAGUAAAAAGAAUUAAGCAGAAAUUCUGGAGUUGAAAAAUGUAAUCGACAUACUGAAGAAUGCAUCAAAGUCCCUUAAUAACAGAAUUGAUCAAGCAGGAGAAAGAAUUAGCGAACUUGAAGACAGGCUGUUUGAAAAUACACAAUCAGAGGAGAUCAAAGAAAAAAGAAUGAAGCAUGCCUAGAAGAUCUAGAAAAUAGCCUCAAAAGGGCAAGUCUGAGUUAUUGGCCUUAAAGAGGAGGUAGACAGACAGAUAGGGGUAGAAAGUUUAUUCAAAGGAAUAAUAAGGCUUUCCAAACCUCAAGAAAUAUAUAAAUAUUCAAGUACAAGAAGGUUAUAGAACACCUAACUUGGGUUAUAGGUUUAACCCAAAUAAUACUAUCUCAAGACAUCCAAUAAUUAAACUCUGAUAGUCAAGGAUAAAGAAAGGAUCCUAAAAGAAGCAAGAGAAAAGAAACAAAUAACAUACAACAGAGGCUGGGUGUGGUGGCUCAUGUCUGUAAUCCCAGCACUCUGGGAGGCCAAGGUGGACAGAUCACUUGAGGUCAGGAGUUCAAGACCAGCCUGGCCAACAUGGUGAAGCCCCGUCUCUACGAAACACACAAAAAUUAGCUGGGCUUGGUAGUGCAUGCCUGUAACCCCAACUACUCUGGAGUCUGAGACAGGAGAAUCACUUGAACCCGGGAGGUGGAGGUUGCAGUGAGCAGAGAUUGCACCACUGCACUCCAGCCUGGGCGAUAGAGUGAGUCUCGUCUUAAAAACAAAAACAAACAGACAAAUAAAAAACAUACGAUGGAGCUCCAAUAUGUCUGGCAGCAGACUUCUUAGUGGAAACCUUGUAGGCCAGAAGAAAGUAGCAUGACAUAUUUCAAGUACCGAAGGAAAAAAAAAAUACCUUGUAUCCUAGAAUAGUAUAUCCAGCAAAAAUACCCUUCAAACAUGAAAGAUAAAUAAGAACUUUCUUAGACAAGCUAAAGGAUUACAUCAAUGCCAGACCUGUCCUACCAGAAAUGCUAAAGGGAGUCCUUCAAUCUGAAAGUAAAGGGCGUUAAUGAGCAAGAAUAAAGCAUUGGGAGGUUCAAAACUCACUAGUUACAGUAAGUACACAGAAAAAGCCAGAAUAUUAUAACACUGUAAUUGUGGUGUGUAAACUACUCACGUCUUGAGUAGAAAGACUAAAAGAUGGACUGAUCAAAAAUAAUAACUACAAGUUUUCAACACAUAGACAAUACAAUAAGCUAUAAAUAUAACAACAGAAAGUUAAAAAGUGGAUUAACAGAAAGUUAAAAAAAUGAAGUUAAUGUAUAGAGUUUUUUUUUGUUUUCUCUUUGCUUAUUUGUUUAUGCAAUCAGUGUUAAGUUGUCAUCAGUUUAAAAUAAUGGGUUAUAAGAUAUUAUUUGCAAGCCUCAUGGUAGCCUCAAAUAAAAAAAUCAUAUAACAAACAAAAAAAUAAAAAUAAAGAAAUUAAAAACACCACUGGAGAAAAAUCAUCUUCACUAAUAAAAUGGCAGGAAGGCAGAAAAGAAGGAAGAGAAGACCAAAAAGCAAUCAGAAAACUAAUAACAAAAUAGCAGGAGUAAGCCCUUACUUAUCAAUAAUAACAUUGAAUGUAAGUGAACUAAACUCUCCAAUCAAAAGACAUAGAAUGGCUGAAUGGAUAAAACACAAGACCCAAUGAUUGGUUGCCUAUAGGAAAUACACUUCACCUAUAAUGACACACAUAGGCUGAAAAUAAAGGGAUGGAAAAAGAUGUUCCAUACAAAUGAAAA